AUUCUAUUUCCCCUUCCCAGAGAGAUCCAAGUGAAAGACCCCCGAAGGGAGACCCUCACUCAAGCCUCGGGACAGCCGCGGACCCAAGAAGACACUGAGACCG
rnacentral:pre_miRNA from 7 species